UUGUAUAUUAUGCAGUGUAGCCUUUGAAGUUGACAAAUGGGCAUUAGUAUUUUCAAUUUGAUCUUGUGUUUUUACAUGUUCUAACUUAUUUUCUUUCCCUUUUCCUUGUCAUUGUUGUGACUUCUGAUAUUUAGGAUGAGGGUACUUGUGUAAAAGAAUUUUUGUGACAGCAGCAACUUCUGUAAUGUAGAAUUGUCUUUAAAAAAAAAAGUUUUAAGCUUAGACUCAGUGCCCUCGUACUUUGUUAUCAAGUUUAUUGCUUACAGAUGAUUUAUGUCGUCUUGGAUUGUGGAAUCCAUUCUAAAUAACUGCAGUGCCUGUCAAAAUGUAACUUUAGUAUCCACUGCAAGUGUUUUCAUGCAAUAAUUGAUCCUCUGUGUCAUUUGGCCUUUGGCAUCAUUUAAUGGAAGCUUAUGUCCUCUGUGGAUCUCUUUGACCAGUAAAAUUGUCAAGGUGAAACUUUUGAUGUAACAAUAUACAAAUAAAAAAAGUGUUUCUAGUUUAUUUGAACAUGGUUCAAGGACUUUAGGAAGAACUGAGCCAAUUUAUGAAUAAUCAUAUGUCCAAGUCUGUGUUGUGGUUGCUGCACCAUCUAUAUCUAAUGUAGGAAAUCUUGGAAUUGAUAUUUAUAUAAUUUGGUUCCAUUAGCAUCUAAAGAAUUGCAGGGUUUGAAGAAUACCCUGUUCCUGGUUCAACUCUCAAGUACUCCCUCCCCCAAAACUUUUACUGCUUAGAGUCUUCAUUCCAUUAGAUUUUGAAAUUCCACUUGACAAAAUUAAUGUGAUUGAAUUGUUACUUAUCCUUUUCCUAGCAUGGUAUUGUGAAUGUUGUGAUCAUGUUGUCAACCAUAUUGGCUGCUCUUUUGCAGAAAGCUUGAUUGUCCUUUUCUAGCUUAUAUGUGGUAACAUGCGGCCAGUUUACUUCAAUAUGUGAAAAUCUUUGAGUGUAUCUUGUGAUUUGAUCUGCAAAAGUGCAUGUAUGAUCCAUUUUUUAUUAGUACAGUCAUUGCUUGUUACAGCUAUUGGCAUUUCAGCCAGUCAUUUUCAUUUGUGUUGUUUUCCCUAUGGAGGCAUACAUCUGGUAUUGGUGAAACUUUUACAUAUUUCUUUGUCUGAAGUUCAUUCAAAUCUGUUGAACACAAAUAUUGGACUGAGUGUGUUUGAUGCGAAGUAAAAUGACGAUUUGUUUAGGACAGGUUUCCUUACUGCUAAUAUAAGAUGAUAACGCAAUGUCGAAAUUUAACAGUGAUACAAUGAUAAUAAUUUACAUCUGGCAAUUCGAGUAAGUGAGUUUUCCUAUUCCAAGGGGAUCAACUACGACUACUGCUAUUGCAGAGGUUCUUCAGCUUAUUCAUUUUGUCUGGUUAAUUGUUGCUCAUCUGUGGAGGCAGGGAGAUGAGAGUAGACCACUUCACACCAUGAAACUGGUGAUGAAUAUUUUUGUUUUGCUUAUAUGCUGAUAAUUCACAUGGACCAUGAAGGAUUUAGGAAGAAAACUGUCAAUAUAAGAUGAUCCUUUAGAGUAUUCUGUACAGUUGAAGGACCUCUUUGACAGCAUGCCUGGACCAAGAAGAUGGCCAAUUCUAGGAAACAUGACCAGUUCCAUGCCCUAUCAAACCACAUGAGUUCAUGCUUCAUGAUCUGGAAGAAGUGGUUUUAAGUUGCACUAAAGCUUUUUCGAGGGAAUGUUCCUUGCUUUGUCACACUCUUUUUUUCCUUUUUAUUUCAGAACAAGGAGCUAAAGGCUCAAUAUUUUGGAAGGAAAGGAAGCAUUUUUAGCGAAACCAAAAUUUUAAUCCAAACAUGAUCUAGCAGAUGGUCAGAUGGUGUUGUAGCAUGCGAGUAAUGAGCUGUUGAAUCUCAUAGUGAAUCAUCAUGUACAUAGUCAAGAUUAUCUAAGCUCAAUUUCUUUUAGGUGGUGGAGAUUUAUACACUUAUUUCAUUUUUUAUCCUCAAAUAUAUCAAAACAUCGAAUUGACUGAGCUUCAAAAAUACAACCCCCUCAAUUGAAUUAAUGGUUUGGAACAGCCUUCAGACAAAUUAUUUCAGCUUGGCAUCCACUGACUCUGAUUGAAGACACCCCAAAACAAGUGUAUGGGCAUCAAAGACACUUAGUAGUAGAUAUUGAGACAGACUUGACUCGUUUUUCUUCGAGUCAAGAAGAUACUAAUAUUCAACAUGGUGAUUGAUUUUGAACUUAAAGACAAUAUAUCAACUGUCUCCACGAAAUUAUUAUAUUUCUAUCAAGCGCUUGCUUUUCAUUGAAUGAAGUGAGCUGCAAAACUUCCUUGCAGGUACAAAACCGGAAGGUGGUCCUUAUAACUUGAAAUGCAAGUUCCAUCUUUGACAUGCACGCUUUAGAAAGCUGCUUGAGGCAUGGCUGCCUAGCAAGACAAAGGCCAGCGUAUAUAAACUAGAAAAAAAGGGCUUCGAAAAGUUACAAAUCUUGGAGUACCAAUUCAAGAAUCAGCCUAUGACUUUGAUCUUUCUAACUAAUUCAAGUUUUUACAAAACAACUAUCAUUUCAAAUGAGUAAGAUAGUGACAUAAACGCUUUUCUAGAAUACUACUACUAUAAGUUAAAUGCAUGUACCGCCUGCAUGUCCUAUAAAAUUAUAGGCCUUAUUAAAGACAUGCACAUAAAUGAAAUAGUACUAAAAUUUCACAUCACUAGAAAAAUCAGUGGCUUAAGACACCACAUGAAGAGUAUGAAUGAACACAGCAACUGCCAUUUGGUUGUUAUUAGAUCUUUUCGUGUUAGUUUCCUCCUUUAAUGUCUAAAUAACUUCAACAAGAACGUAAGCUGAAUGUUUGAGUAAGUAGACAGACUUACAAUUAUUCGUGAUGAGACUGGGAAUGAUACAGGGGGAAAUGAUAGGUUGGCUGGCACGAGAGGAAAAUUGUAAGUGAGAGGUUCUGGAUUCGAUAUUUUCCACUUAUACUAAAAAAAUUGUUAAAAAAAAGAGGCUGGGAAUGCUACAUUUUGAAGUUGGGUAGAACAUUUCAAAUGUAACACCAGCUAUCCUCUUAUUUUGAAGAAUUAUUUUCACUCAAAAGUCUAGAGGAAACCAAGUAGUAACAAACAGUCCUUCCCGGUCAGAAGGCAUGUCAACAGGACCAAUUUCCCGGCCAAUUCUCCCCUCUCUUCUCAUCCUCCUCCUCCUCCUUUAUCUUCUCUCAUUAUCCACCUCAGAUGAUCUUCAAACUCUCCUAACCAUAAAAAAUCCUUAAAAAACUCAAAACAUUUCUGUUUUUGAUUCCUGGGGUGCCAAGGUUAAUAAUCCUAUAUGUAACUUCACAGGAAUCACUUGUGACCAUGCCACGAAUCUUGUUAAAGAAAUUGAACUCUCUGAUCGGAGUCUCAGUGGCCAAGUUCCUUUCAAUGCAGUAUGCCUUCUGAAAUCCUUGGAAAAGGUUUCUUUGGGGUUCAACUUUUUGUCUGGACCAGUCACAGAGGACUUGAACGAGUGUGCUAACUUGAGAUUAUACAAAUCCUCUACAAUUUACACCACGGAAAUUAUACAGAUUGGGUCUAUAGUGGGUCGUCUCACACAAUUUUGGGCUACUCGUGAGCAGGCAAUGAAGGGCACGAAUUUUGUAUGACCUCAAUUCAUCAUGAAUUUGCAUAUAUGCAUAUACAUUUGUAAUAAACUUUUGGAGGGUGAACUCUAAUUUUUACAAGGAUAUGGUUGGAAUUUUUAAACUUUUUAACAGGAAAUAUAACAAUUUCUAGAUUUUUGUAUGUAUAAUAAGGCAGAAUCUUUUUUCCUUUUAAUUUUUUUUUCUUCCUAGUACCCCAAUCUACUCUGGAGGUGUACCAAGAAUGGCCAUAUUCAUAGUGAAUGAUUGGGACGGACGAUCCGCCACAUGGGUCAUUGGUGAUUUAGAACCCCACUGUUCCGAAGUUGAAACUUGAAAGCAACUUAUACACACAAAUCCAUAUAUCUUUUUCCACUUUUCCUGUUUUUGGUAGUAUGAUUGCGCAUGAAUCACAUCAAUUAAAGUUCAUUUGCCUACUGGCUACUACUUCAUAUGUUAAACAGUUUCUCCACAAUGAUGCAUGAAAAGACCCUCUUUUCCUUCAACAAUCAAAAGAAACUUUCCAAGUAUUUUUCAUCUUUAUUCCAUCUAUAUAUAGUCAAAAGAACCCUAACCCCAGCGUUUUGCAUUUUCUAUGAGUAGUGUUCUACGAUCUUGAUUUUCUUUCACGAGAUUGAUGCAGGUGUGAUUGAGGUUGGUGCGGUUAUAUAUAGUUUUUGUAUUAUUUUCUUUUUCAAAAUUUAGGGCCCAUUUGAGGUUGCCAUAGUUUUUUAGAAAGUACUUCUCUAAUAGAGUUUUUAAUCUAAAAGUACUUUGAAAUACUUUUAGUAUCUAGAAGUGCUUUUUUAUUAAAAGGACGCAAUUCCAAAUGGGGCCUUAAUGUACAUUUAUAUGCAUGAUUGUAUGCAUUUACUAACUCGGUAGAAAUAAAUAUAAUUGAUAUGUACAACAAAGCUAUAUGAACAUACAACAAAUCAUAUAAGAAAUAAAAUAACAGUACAACCACAAAAAAAAAAAAAAA
rnacentral:lncRNA from 1 species